GACGAACGCUGGCGGCAUGCCUAACACAUGCAAGUCGAACGAGACCUUCGGGUCUAGUGGCGCACGGGUGCGUAACGCGUGGGAAUCUGCCCUUGGGUGCGGAAUAACAGUUAGAAAUGACUGCUAAUACCGCAUAAUGACUCCGGUCCAAAGAUUUAUCGCCCAAGGAUGAGCCCGCGUCGGAUUAGCUAGUUGGUGAGGUAAAAGCUCACCAAGGCGACGAUCCGUAGCUGGUCUGAGAGGAUGAUCAGCCACACUGGGACUGAGACACGGCCCAGACUCCUACGGGAGGCAGCAGUGGGGAAUAUUGGACAAUGGGCGAAAGCCUGAUCCAGCAAUGCCGCGUGAGUGAUGAAGGCCUUAGGGUUGUAAAGCUCUUUUACCCGGGAUGAUAAUGACAGUACCGGGAGAAUAAGCCCCGGCUAACUUCGUGCCAGCCGCCGCAGUAAUAC
rnacentral:rRNA from 1 species